rfam:Vitrella brassicaformis CCMP3155 genome assembly, contig: scaffold380
GGGACUGUAGUUCAAUGGUUAGAAUGCCACCCUGUCACGGUGGAGGUUGCGGGUUCGAGUCCCGUCAGUCUCG